GUUGUGUUUUAUCUAUAAUGGGUUAAAUUGCAUGAAUUGUACUGUGGAGCUGUUGGUAUUUUAGAAAAGCUGAACUAAUCUUAUUUGGACUGAGAAUACUGAUCAUAUUUUGAUAAUGAGAGGGCUGCCAAUGAAGCGAUCUAAACUGAAAAAGAAACUAAACUCACUACGACGGAUUCGUUGUCAUUGGUGUCAGAAUUCAGAAAAGAUUAAGCCGAUAGAGGCUAACCAGAGUGCAUUGUUGCAUCGUCGCUAAACACAGUAUUGAAUGAGAAAAAGGCGCUAUGAUAAGCGCCUUUUUCUUUAGUUUA
rnacentral:misc_RNA from 1 species